GACGUAGGGCGCGAGCGUUGUCCGGAAUUAUUGGGCGUAAAGGGCUCGUAGGCGGUCCGUCACGUCGGGAGUGAAAACUCGGGGCUCAACCCUGAGACGCCAAUCGAUACGGAUCGGCUAGAGGUAGGUAGGGGAAAGUGGAAUUCCUGGUGUAGCGGUGAAAUGCGUAGAUAUUGGAAAGAACACCGAUGGCGAAGGCACUCUACUGGGCUAUUACUGACACUCAGAGACGAAAGCUAGGGGAGCAAAUGGG
rnacentral:rRNA from 1 species